AAUAUUGGGCAAUGGGCGCGAGCCUGACCCACCAACGCCGCGUGAGGGAAGAAGGCUUUCGGGUUGUAAACCUCUGUCCUUGGUGACAAAAAAAAUGACGG
rnacentral:rRNA from 1 species